AUUGAACGCUGGCGGCAUGCCUUACACAUGCAAGUCGAACGGUAACAGGUCUUCGGAUGCUGACGAGUGGCGAACGGGUGAGUAAUACAUCGGAACGUGCCCGAUCGUGGGGGAUAACGGAGCGAAAGCUUUGCUAAUACCGCAUACGAUCUACGGAUGAAAGCAGGGGACCGCAAGGCCUUGCGCGGACGGAGCGGCCGAUGGCAGAUUAGGUAGUUGGUGGGAUAAAAGCUUACCAAGCCGACGAUCUGUAGCUGGUCUGAGAGGACGACCAGCCACACUGGGACUGAGACACGGCCCAGACUCCUACGGGAGGCAGCAGUGGGGAAUUUUGGACAAUGGGCGAAAGCCUGAUCCAGCCAUGCCGCGUGCAGGAUGAAGGCCUUCGGGUUGUAAACUGCUUUUGAACGGAACGAAAAGACUCUUUCUAAUAAAGAGGGUCCAUGACGGUACCGUAAGAAUAAGCACCGGCUAACUACGUG
rnacentral:rRNA from 1 species